rnacentral:tRNA from 1 species
UAAUAUUAAAUAGAAGUUGUAUUAUUAUUUAAAGUAAUUGAUAUAUAAUUUAGUUUUAUUAUAUUUU